rnacentral:rRNA from 1 species
CCUACGGGAGGCAGCAGUGGGGAAUCUUGCCCAAUGGGCGCAAGCCUGAGGCAGCGACGCCGCGUGAGGGAAGAAGGCCUUCGGGUUGUAAACCUCUUUCAGGAGGGACGAAGCCACUCGGGUUAAUAGCCCAGAGGGUGACGGUACUUCCAGAAGAAGCCCCGGCUAACUACGUGCCAGCAGCCGCGGUAAU